GCUCCGGUGGCCUAGUGGUUAGAGCAUCUGCCUCAAAUGCGGGAGGUCAUGGAUUUGAUCCCUGGUUGAUUCA